AAAAUCUUCAACAAAACCUAUCAAGUUUUUGCUUGAUUUCACAACUCCCUUCAAUCUUGAGGAGUCUCCCACACUGAUAUAUUCCUGAUAUGUGCAAUUUGUGGCCAAUCAUCACCCGUUUCCGGUUGACACCUAGGCAAUAACAAGGGGCAGUCCGUAAUAUUCAAGGUAUGUUGUGAACUGAGGUCUGCCAUUCCUUUGGGCAGAGAAUCUAAUUUUCUGCAUUCAUAAAUAACCAAUUUUUCAAGUGAAGUGAGGUUACUGAUGCUUUCAGGUAGAGAAGUUAAAGCCUGACAAUCAUAAAUUCUUAACUCUUUCAAAGAUUUCACAUUUUCAACUCCCCAUGGAAGGGACUUCAGUUUUGAAAUACUCCUUAAUGUAAGAGAACUCAGGUUUUUUAGACCCUCCCAUUCAGUUGGUUUAUUGCAGUUCGUUCCAGACAUGUCGACAUCAAGAACAAGGUUUGGACAUCUUUCAAUAGAAAGUGAUAGGAGUGAACUUAAAGACUUGAAACCCUGUGGUAGAGACUCAAAAUUAGGACAAUCUCGAAUGUGAAGUUCCUCAAGUGAAAUGAAGUUUUCAAGCCAACUCUUUGGUGGAGAAUGUUCAAUACGCUCAAUUGUCAUGUACUUCAAUUUGGUGAACGGUUGCGACUGUGAAUUAGAAGUUUCAGUACUUUCAGUAUUGUCAGCAUAAUGCAUUGUAUCCCUCAUUGAUCUUACAUUUGACUUCACCAGAACGAGCUCUUCAUCUAGGUCAGGAUAUAGCGGCAUGCAAGCUAAUUGAGGACAAUAUUGGAUAUUUAUUUUUGAAAUGGAACUGAAAGAAGGUCUGUCAUUUUCACAUAUCUCUUUUUCCCACCAACUUUUAAGAUUAGGACAAUCGGAGAUUGUAAGUUCCUUCAAGGAUGGAAAGAAUAUUGGUGUAGAAGAACCACCCUGAUUGUUUUCUGCAAUGAAUGACAAAGAGUCCAAUCUCCGAAGUUGGAGAACUUUGAGAUGUGGAAGAUGAUCCAUUGGAGGGAUAAAUUUGCAUUUGGGGCAGUCGUUCAAGGCAAACUUAACGAGGCAUUGAAGUGAAUCGAGCAAGUUAGACAACGUGGGACCAUUGUACCCAAAAAUUAAUACUCCUUCCGGUCCUUUUUAUAAGGAACACUUUAAAAAAAUCACACAGACCAAUGAAGCACAUUUAACAUAGUUAUUUUCAUUUAAUACUCUUAUAAAUUNNNNNNNNNNNNNNNNNNNNNNNNNNNNNNNNNNNNNNNNNNNNNNNNNNNNNNNNNNNNNNNNNNNNNNNNNNNNNNNNNNNNNNNNNNNNNNNNNNNNNNNNNNNNNNNCAACCUUGCUUUCUUCCUCGUCCUCUUCAUCGUGAUCCCAUCUUAGUGUCAAGAACUCAAGAUAUUGUUUAUGUUUCAAAAAUUCAUCUUUAGCAGCUUCCUUGGAUGGAGAGAACUUGACUCGCUCAAGAUGCGAAAUUUCCAAGUGGCCUCUCAAAUUGUUAAGAUCCGUGAGUGACCUUAGUCCUCCCGUGACUUGCUUCUUGCUAGCCACAAAAAGUGACAAUGUUUGUAAAGAAGUGAGCUUAUUUAUACCACUUGGCAGGUGAGUUAGAUCCAAACAUCCCUCAAUGUCAAGAUGGCUGAGACUACUCAAAUCCUCCAUGUCUUUUGGCAAUUCCUUAAGGACAUGACAUUGAGAAAGUUUCAACGUUUGCAAGUGGAUAAGAUUCGUGAUGCUACUAGGAAGCUUUUCCAUGUUGUUAUGGGAAAGAUCUAGAAACCUCAAGUACUUCACAUCUUCAAUAGAGCUUGGAACCAUCUUGAUCCCCAAGUCAUGUAGAUCCAAUGCGCGUAGGGAGUACUUGAAGGUGUUGAAGAUCUUAUCACAGGUUGAUGUUGUCAUCUUUACCUCACGUGGAAGCCGAGGGUUAUCAGUGUUGUAUGGCAAAAGAAUGGUUCUUAAUUUUUUUGCUGUCUCAAACACUGAAUCAGGGAUCUCACACGACACAUCUAGAGCGAAAUUGAACGAAACUCGCAGCGUUCUGCCUUGAACUCUGUCCACCAUCGAACUCACAGUGAUGUUUUCGCAACCGGCAGGUAUUUCCCUUGCGAGUUUAUGCAUUAACUUGUUCAUUCUAUAUAAGUCGUUGUUUAUGUUAUUCCUCACAACACCGCGGUAUUGAUGGUGAUCAUUUUCUUCUUCCACUUGAUGGAAAACCAAAGGAACAAAGUCGUUGAAACAAGCUCGACCAAAAUGCUGCUCAGCAGUAUUAGUAUCACUGUUGGAGGAAAUUGUGCUGAGGAGAAAUCCUUCAGCAGUCCAUAGUUGAAUUAAUCUGUCGGCAUCAAUCAAAUAAUCUUCUGGAAACAAUGAACAAUAUGCAAAACAUAGCUUUUGAUAAGUGGGAAGAUCAUCAUAAUAGAUAUACUUGAGCAUUUGUAGUGCUUCUGGAAUCCAGUCGUCACCACCACAACCGCUAUGGUUCUUCUUGAUCACCAUCGCUAUGAUCACUAUCAGAAGAGGGACUCCUCCGCCAUAAUGCCUCACAAUCUCCCGUUCGGGUUCAGGUUUGGAUUCAGAUUCAUUGGUACUAGUUUGUUCCUCUUUUUUGGUUGAAGUAAUUAGCUCAUUAACACACUGAAACAAGGACCAAGAUUCCUCUUGAUUAAGCCCCUGCAACUUCAAAACCAUUAUGGUUCUAGCAGCAAUGUUGAUUGCAACCUGGUUGCCACAGGUAGUAACAUGUUCAGCAGCAAUGGUGUUGGCAACCAUGUUGCUACGUGUAGUAAUGACUAUCGCCGUAUCAGUAUGGCUGCCAAUCACCUUGGUUAAUUCCUUCUGCAACAUCUCAAGAUCACCACGCUGAAUCUCAACACGCAAAUCAUCUAAUAAAAGUAACAGACCUUUACCUUUGGUGGUGGUGACGCGGUUUGCUAUGGAUUCAACAUCAAAAUUUUCGCGGAGAUCAUUGAUCCCAAUUUUUUGGAACCCAAACUUCGCUUUGACUUUCUCAUCCUCACAAACAAGACUUGCAAGUUUUGUUUUCCCAAUUCCAGGAACACCCGCAAUUACAAUAACAACAUCAGAGUUGUUCAUGUUCAGCAAUUGAUCAAUGAUCUCCUUCUUCUCAUUUUCUCUACCAAUCAUAGUAAUUUUCUCAAACUCUGCAUAUGCAAUUGCAAACUUUCUUCUCUCAUUAGCAUUACUACGAACCACUUCUUGUUGUUCUCCCUUUGGCACUUCCUCAAUCAACCUUUUGAGUUCCUCUGUGGCUUUCUUGACUUGAUGUGUAGCUUUGAAACGAUUCCUGACGUUUAAGCCCGACCUGAUAAGCGAUUUUGAUGAGCUACUGCUAUUCUCCUUGUAACGAAGAUCUUCUAUCAAAUCAUUCAAAUCGAUUACAACAUCUUUAACUUUUUGAAGCCACUCAGAGUUGCUCUGAUUUUGGACUUUUUCAUUGAUUUGUUUAAGAUUGGUUUCAAGUUGGUUGAUGUCAAUUGUUAGAUGUUUUGUGGAGUUCAUCCAUUGUAGGAUGUUGGAGAUUGAAUGGGAAAUCAUGGCUACGUCCAUUGAUGUUUUGUUUUGUGUUUGAAAAUUUAAUAAUAACGUUCAAAAAUAAUGUGGAAGAAGAAGAUAUACUAUUAUAACUCUCUAUUGUCUGUAUUUACAUAAAAUUCAUGUACUGUACGUAAAUAAAUUGAUUAAUUGACAAUCUGUGGUUUCAACUACUUUCCUAUUGGCCAUUAAAAUCAAGCAAGAGAGACAGACAACCACAUUAACAUACAUUGAUCGGACUAGUACCUUCUUAGAAAGAUUGGUGAGUGUUAGGUUGCCUUUAUAAAUACAUACAUAUGGAUGGUUAGUUUGUCCACAGUGAUGUCGCAUUAAUGAAAAAAUACAUCUGAUCUAUCUUCAUGAUUUAUUGGGGGAGCUGCCACUUUUGGUCUCUCUAUUCCUGUCAAGUCCUUGAUUCACAUUCAAAAUAAUCUUUGGCUCCGUUAGUCAUUUUAGUAUAUGACGUUAAUUUAUAUCAUUAACCGUAAAACAAGUUGACGUGUCUAAUUUUGGUUGCUUUCAUCACCAAUAUAUGGUUUAUUGGACUGCAUAAUCUGUUUUAGAGGUCAGUUUUGAAAUCAAGUGGUUUCAGCUCCUUUCCGAUUGCAGUUGCAGGGAUCAAAUGUUGUCCCUCCCUACCAAGUCCAACGUCAAUCACCACUGGACCAACUAAUGAUAUGUAUGUUUAAUAGUUUAUACUUUCUCAAAAACGAGUGCAGUCAGUGUGCUUGUGACUAUGUUAGCUACCUUCUUGCCAUGGGAUUUUAUUAGAGCUUAUGGUGGAGAAUGAAUAUGUGAAUCGUUCCACCAUUGAGGUUGCUAAGAGAGCCAAAACGAUCCUCGAGGCCUGGAAAUCUGUCUGUCAAAUGAGCAGAUCAGCAGCAGAAUGCUGUCAUUAUGCGAUCUAAGAAACCAAAGUUCGGGAGUUAAAAUAUACUAAUAUAGAUGCAGCUCCGUUUGAAGAUGAAAACAACUUCAGUUACGGCAUGUGUAUUCAGAACGAUCAGGGAAUUAUGGGAAUACCUUCACCAAGAUGAAAAAAUAUAUAUAAAAAAAAUUGUGCACAACAUUUAAGCUUAAUGUUUGUGAGUAAACAAUGCAAUAACAGAUAUUACUGUUUGUAAUUUUAUCGGAUUCCACAUUUUUUUUGCCAUAAUACUUGAACCAUUUCUACAAUUAUCUUGCCAAUUUAUUCACUUGUCCCAAAGAAUUGCAUACAUGCGACAACUAUUAGAUGCUUGUUCCUUAUUAGAUGAAAACAAACACAAAAUAAGUACAUUCAAGUCCAACAAAAGUACUCUAGAGAGUUAAUUAGCAAUUUCAAUUGGAUAAUACCGUAGACUUGAAAAUCUCAAUGAAGAGCCGCAACUGUGAAGGUACAAGAACAAUAACCGGAAUACUAGCAAACGACAUGGCUGUUAUUAUGACUCCUUGAUGUCCCUUUAAAAGCAUAGCUAGAGAAGCACAAAAAGCAACCAUCAUGGACACCACAGAGAAAAAAAGCGCAAUGAGACCGAAAAGUAACUUAAGUGGCAAAGACUUUAAGAAAUCCUUUUCAGCAUAACGCGCCGUGAGAAUUCCAAUGAAAAGAAGGACCGAAGUUGAAGAAGUGAAUAGGGAUAUUGCAUCUGCUAUGAUAAACACAUUAAAUGUUUGGUCUUUCAAGAACAAGGGAAUUCCACUAUCUUGAUUGUUUCCACCAGGAACGGUGAAAGCUGCAGCAAACAUGAUGGUUGUGAUGAGUGUAGCCACAAGUGUAAACGAACCAGCGGUAUCUUUUGCCCAUUUUUCCCCUGAUUUUACAAGCUCCUUGUGGCUUUCGGUAAAUAUUUCACGAGGCUUUCUGUCUUCUGCAUUUUUGGCUUCUUUACACUUGGGGUGCACAAUUUUCUCCACUGCCUGUAUUGAUCUAUUUCAUAAAUUAUAUGUGGCACAUAUGUGUGCGUGCGUGCGCAGCUUGAAAAAAUUAUAUACUAUGUGACAUGAGUUACUUACCUUAAACCAUAAAAUUUCUCUUUGCAUUUGGAGAGCAGGACCAGAUCUACGGUGAAGAUCAGCUGAAGGUCCUAAAUUUCCUGCUAGAUGCAACAGAGAAUUACCAAAUGCAUCUACACGACAUCUAACAAUCUCCUUUCGUCCAUUAACAGUUUCAUCGUGUAUGAGUUGGAAGACUACUUUUUGACGGUUCAAAAUUGCAUGCGAAAAUAUGCCUCUUUUAUUUUUAUCAAUAGCCCAUAAGAGAUCAGGGUUAGCCUUCCUCAUUGCAUCUAUGAACUCAAUAUUUCCAUGUUUUGCUGCUUGCAACAUUGCAUCAUAUGCUGAAGCUUCUCUCAAUUCUGAUUCCUUAAAUUUCUGAAUUCUUUGGUACAAGCAAUUUAAUAUUUCGAGUACUAGACGGUGUGUCAUUUUCUUAUUAUAUAUUUCUCUUAUUCCUGAAGAUCACAUAAUUUGAUGGAGGAAAUUAGUUAGUACUCAAAGUCUAUAUAGAUUAAUUAAUAAACAACAUUGAAGCAAAAUGAAAUGUAAAUAAGUUUACAAAACCUACCAGAUAGAUUUGAUAUUACUAAAUCCUGAAAUGACAUGUAAACAUGUAUAACUAAUCGACCUGAAAAAAGAGUCAUCAAAAGUGAAAAAGAAAACAUUGAUCAGCAAAUGUGUACUGAUCACCGUCAAAUUUGUGAAUGUGGUUCAUCUCUAAGAAUUGAAAAAUACUUACCAAAGAGUUGUACUUGCGAAAUUUUCAAAAUAUUGAAUAUCCAUCCAAAGAUCCUUCCUAAAAAAGAAAAUAAAAUGGAGAAAACAUGAAUUGCUUAACUAUACAGAAAACAAUGAAAAUAUACACAUUUGCAGGUUAGAUAAAAUUUGUUGAAUCUGUACCGAUGAACGAUGUUUUGAUUUGUUUUUCAUGUAGAGAACCAUUUGUUACAAUCACAGCUAUCCCAUACAAGUUCUGCACUUUUUUUUCUGGUAAUCUCAAAACUGAAGAAAGAAAGAAAGAAAAACAAGAAGAUUAGUGAUCUUGACUCUCCAUUAGCUCUAAAUACAUAUUAAUCAUAUCCAAGUGGGGGCAUAUUGAUGUACUAAUAGUCAAACAAAUAGAUACAAAAACUAAAAGAGAUAAGAACUUAGGAGCACUCUAACACCAAGAAUAGAAGAGGUAAGGUAACAUUGAAAAUGAACAAAUAGUUUCGACGUCAUAGUUUUUACAUUCCAUUUAUAAUUAUAGUGAAUACAUCUACAAACUAAUAUAAACUUACUUUUGUAUAGGAAUCGCCGUAUGAAUCCAUAACUGCUUCCACUUAGGAACAUAGAAGGCAUGCGUGCCAAUGCGUAUAAGGGUUGCACACCAUCGGAUUUGGAUUUGGAUUUGUGGGCAAGUGGCAAAUGCGGAAACUGUUGGAGUAAACUCAAAGCCACACCUAAUUAACAACAUAUUAACAUAUUGCGUAAAAGCUUCCAUUAAAAUUUACUAGACUUUAAUUUAAUCAGAUAUGUCACCAUGUGCAUUGCGAGGAACACAUUUUCCUCGGAAAUAUUAGUAGGAAAUUCGCAAAAUUCUUGUAAAGCCACUUACCAAAUAUUUCUGCAUUGAUACAUCGAGUUAGAAGCAAAACACCGUUGUGGUAAUUAUUAUUAGCCAUGUCUUCCAUCCUAGUUCUAGCAAAAAGAUAACUAGUCAUUUCUUUGUGCCCCUUAGCGGCCGCGAGAAGAACAGGAAUUUCACCAUCAUUGUUCUUCAUAGAUAACAAGUCUUGUCCGAUGAGUUCCCCUCCUUUCUUUUCAACCAUACACUUUGCUAUAUUGGUGUUUCCUGUCAACUCGGCAACAAGAGCCAGGGCUGUGUAACCACGUUUGUCUUUCAUUUUCACUAACUUGUCUUUCCCUUCCUUCACCAAUUUCUUCACAAUUUCGCCAUGGCCAGCAAUCACUGCAACAUGAAGAAUAGUCCUCCCUGAAGAAGACGUGGAAAACAUAGCUGUUUCGUCCCUAUUCAUGAACGCUUUUGCAUCAUUCCACUCACCACUCUCAAUAAACCUAUGGAGGGAUCUAUAGUGAUGGAGACUAUCGUCCACCACACCUGCAAAUUAGCAUAUAUUUAAGCCAAAAAAUCUAUAUAUCAUACUAGUAAUUGAAUGACAAAUGAUAUUUUGACGCACAAACCAAAAUUUUUAAAAAAAGUAAUUAGUUGUUAAUGUUGGUAUUUUUCUCCUUCACUGGGACAUGAACCCGAGAACUUUUACACCUUAACACCUUUAACCCUUAACUCAAACCAGUUGAACUACCUACUCCACCCGAACGACCAACAUAACAAAUCAGCAAGGACACUCAUUUAUGAUCAAAUUCUUUCGUCAAUAUACCAAUAUAGUCAAAAUGUAUGAAUAUGCAUGGUACAAUUUCUAUAUAGGGUGACGUUGUUGUUUUUAAUUCAUAAGAGCUAACUUGGUUACUUGUAUGAGAAGUAACAUGUUAGUUAGAGUUUUAAAAUUCAGUUGAAGGUAGUUAAAUGACAAUUGUAAAUUGGUUGAGUUUGUUUUGAGUUGGUUGCUAUUAAUUAGUGAUUUGUUAUAUAAGUUACACUCAUAUACGUACCCUGUAACAUGACAAUUGUGAUUAAGUGAUAAGUGAAUAAUACUCCUUCUCUUGUAUCUCAUAUCUCCUUUUAUCCUUCCUUACUCAUAUCAAGGUUUGUGUGUGAAUUCCAUUCUUGAGCUCAAACCGAGCUUAUCCUCAGUGGCUGUGCACUUAGCCUAUUAUGCACUUAUCAGUGCCCUAGAGCGAACAAUAUGAAUAUAAGGUUAAAUUGCAUUUUUGGCCUCUAAUUUUCACAAACUUGUGUUUUUUGCCUCUUAACUUUUAAAAUAGCACUUUUGGUGCCCUAACUUUCACAAACUUGCAAUUUUGGCCCCUAACUUUAGCCCAUUUUGCAAAAGGAUGACUCCCCUGAUUUUGACCAUGUCAACGCUAAUGUGGUAAGUGACUCACAUGCUACGUCACUGUAUCUUGCCACAUGGACAAUGAUUCACAUGACACGUCAGCAUGGCUUGUCACAUUGUGUUGACUUGGUCAGGUGGCCAAAAUUGCAAGUUUGUGAAAGUUAGAGGGUAAAAAAAUAUUAUUUUGAAAGUUAAGAGGCCAAAAUCACUAUUUUGUGAAAAUUAGGGGGCAAAAAAUAUAAUUUAGUUUAAAUAUAAUACGUAAGUCUCAUAAAAGAGUUCAAACAUAAAUUUUUUCCAUUUCAAGUAAAAAUGAUUUUUUUUUUCUAACUCACCAUAAUAUGAUAUUUUAGCUCAAACAGUCAUUUCAAAAUAUUUUCACAAAACUAACAUAGUGUGGCCCCUUAACCAAUUUGAUCCAAGGUUCGAUUCUCGGCCGGUGCAUAUAGAAAAACAUUUGUCGGGAGAUGUCAACCCAUUAAAUGGAUUUCAGGUGCCUUUGAGGGAUUACUCUCUGCAUUUGUGCGCGGAGGAUACCUUUGGUUUUAAAAAGAAAAAAAACUCACAAAGAACAUGCGAACCGAUCCUCAAAUUAAAAGCGGGAGACGUCUAAUUUAUUUUUAUGAGAGGUCAGCUACCUCCCAGAAGAACGACUUAGGAACCGAACCCACAUUCCCGAAAUAUUCUUUCAAACAUUGGGAUAUAUCAUCGAAAAGAUCGCUGUGAAUUAGUCAUAUUGAAUGAUUUUGACAUACCUUGCUCAAUAUCUGAGUCUGCUUUCAAUUCUGAGCCGUAUGAUGCGCUAAAAUAGUUCCAUGCUUCUUUGGCAGUAUGAAGAUCUUUAAUAUGUGCAAGAUUCUCUGAUCCACAUGCUAGUUGAAUAAUAUGCAAAGCCUUUGCAUUCUUCAUAUUCCAUUUCUCAAUUUCUUCCUUUGAUCCCACACCCAUUUCAGCAACAGAAAUAACAACUUCCCAUAGACCAUGCCCCAAAAGAUAGUUUCUCACCAGACAACUCCAAUUAUCAUAGUUGUCUUUUGUUAGUGGUUCAAGAACUAUUCCACUAGCUGCAAUGUUUGCCAUUCUAAUGGUUCUGUUCUUCAGAUAGAGAAACAGAACACUCUGUUUUUUUUUUUUAUAUAUAUAUAUAUAUAUGUUAAUGAUGAAAUGAAAGACAAAAAUGGAACAACAAAUUACAAGUUUAUAAGGAAGCAAGAGCAACUAAUAGGAAAUGGCAACUAUGUGUGUAUGUGUUGACUUUUGACUAUAUGUGUGUGUAUGCAGGGAAGGACCUACGCUACACUUGUGCUUGUGUAAGCAAUGGCCCACAUUAUCAUUUGGGGAUUUUUCUAAUUACCAUAUACAUAUACUACCCCAUUUUUUUAUAAGAGACAACUCGAUAGAAAUUUAUAUAGCAAGUCUUGUUUCUUACGAGUUGUGUGUGUCUCAAAUCUCAAUCUUCUUGCUUGUCUAUGUGAGUAUAGUUUAAUUGAUAAAGAUAUUGAAAUAUUCGGAGAAUUGGAGUUGAAUUUAAGAUUAUUCAUUUAUUUACUUUAGGGAAAGAAAUUUUGGCCACUAAACUACUUGACCCCAAAAAAACUCUCAAAUCCCUUUUUCAGCUUCCACACAAGUGCAUUGUUGUCGUUUUCCAUCUAGCAUUGGCCUCCACUACUCAAAAUCUCCUGUACGUCCCUGUAGUAUGUUGACUGUUGACUAUAAAAAUGCAAAGCUUGACCAUUAAUCUACUAUAGAUUAAUUUUACAAUAGUUUUAAGAGAACAAACUACUAUGUGAAAAUCGAAAAAUACCCUUCCUUAAAUAUACUCAUGUAAGAUGAUGACAAGUUUUGUACCUGCUAAUUCUAGCGCUAUGUUAGUUUGUCGAUGUCAAAUUUAAAAAGUUAAAAGUUUUACGGCCGUUCAGUGAUGACAUUAGUAGAGAUGCCACAAAGAUUUACAUAUCAAAAAAAUGUUGGAAAUUGAACGCAAGGCAACAAUUUAAUUCAAACCUUGCAACAUACUUGCCUUUUGCAUUAAAUCCUAGGUCACCAUUGGGAGUCAAGCAAAUAUUUUACAAAAGGAGUGUAAUUUUUUUAAGACUUUUACCAAACAAGUGUAGUUUUUCUUAAAAAAAUUACUCCCUCCGUUCCAAAAUGUAAGUCAUUUUGAGAAAAAUAAUUGUACCAAAUUAUAAAUCAUUUUAUAUUACCAAUGAAACAUUUAAUGUUUUUUUUUUCUUCUUCAUAUUAUACACUUAACUAUUUAUUUCUCUUUAUUCUUUUAAUUCUUCAAUUUAUUUUUCUCAUAAAUUAAUAAAAGACAAUUUUGUAAACCAACUCAUAAUUUCUCUUUUCUAUACAACAUUAAUCAUAUUUCUUAAUUUGUGUAAUAUGGUCAAAACGACUUACAUUUUAGAACGGAGGGAGUAACAAAUAGAGUAAGUCGUCACUGCCACUAGCAGCUUACCCUUAUUUUAAAAGUAAAAUCGUCGUUGGCACUUGGCAGUAAUAAAUUUGGGUUUUUUUUUUUAUUUUUAUUUUUUACUCCCUCCAUACAUUAAACUUCUUGUGUUUACAUUCUUGCAAGUUACAUAUAUUCUUGCAUCUUUAAACUCCUUCUCUUUCAUUUAAGAAAACCUUUACAUUUUACUACCACUUUAAGAAUGAGUUGUAUAAGUAUUACAUGAUAUUAUAAAAACCAUUUAUUAGUAAUAUAUGAUACCAAAAAAAGUAUCACCAUUAGAGAUACUAUUAGUUUCUUAACCCUUCUAUACGUUAGCAUGUUAGCUUGAAUCUUAUUUAAACAAUCCAUAUCCACGUUUUACUUACAUUUAGUUUUUCUAGUUUUUUUCUUUCAAUGGUCACAUCAGCUAUACUUUCUCCAUUCUUAAUUAUAAGCAAAAAUCAACUUUUUAGAUUCAUUANNNNNNNNNNNNNNNNNNNNNNNNNNNNNNNNNNNNNNNNNNNNNNNNNNNNNNNNNNNNNNNNNNNNNNNNNNNNNNNNNNNNNNNNNNNNNNNNNNNNNNNNNNNNNNNNNNNNNNNNNNNNNNNNNNNNNNNNNNNNNNNNNNNNNNNNNNNNNNNNNNNNNNNNNNNNNNNNNNNNNNNNNNNNNNNNNNNNNNNNNNNNNNNNNNNNNNNNNNNNNNNNNNNNNNNNNNNNNNNNNNNNNNNNNNNNNNNNNNNNNNNNNNNNNNNNNNNNNNNNNNNNNNNNNNNNNNNNNNNNNNNNNNNNNNNNNNNNNNNNNNNNNNNNNNNNNNNNNNNNNNNNNNNNNNNNNNNNNNNNNNNNNNNNNNNNNNNNNNNNNNNNNNNNNNNNNNNNNNNNNNNNNNNNNNNNNNNNNNNNNNNNNNNNNNNNNNNNNNNNNNNNNNNNNNNNNNNNNNNNNNNNNNNNNNNNNNNNNNNNNNNNNNNNNNNNNNNNNNNNNNNNNNNNNNNNNNNNNNNNNNNNNNNNNNNNNNNNNNNNNNNNNNNNNNNNNNNNNNNNNNNNNNNNNNNNNNNNNNNNNNNNNNNNNAUUUUAUCAAUGCUAAUUGAAAUCUAUUUAAUCGACGACUUGCUGUAUCCUGGUCUUUUUUUAUGUUUAUUGUCGAAAAUACUAUUUAAUAAACAUGUAAUAAGAAAGGAUUUAAUAUUUUAUUAAAAAAUAAAGGAUUUAAUUUAUGUAGAACAAUGUAAAUUUUUGUUACACAUGCAUUCAAGCAAAUCACGCUAUUUAGAUUUUUACUAAGAUAUUUUAGAAAUUUACUUUCAAAAGACACUAUAAUGUGAUUUGAUUGAAAGCAUACAUGUGUAAAAAAGUUUUUUAACGUAAAUGUAUAACAAUUAAUCUCAAUAAGAAACCAGCAGGGCACCACUUGGCCAAUUUUUCUAUAAUAAUAAACGAUCAGGGACCGACCUAGAAACAUAUCAUACUGGGGGUCGAAAACUAACAAACCGGCCUAAUUUUAAUUUUUUUCUUUAUCAAGUAGUCCAGGGGUUAGAAUUUCAUUUUUAAAAUGAAAAAGUAGAUGUACUAGAGUUCGAACACCAACCCAUAUAUAUUACAUGCAAUAUUCCUAUCGACCGAAACAUGAAUUAUAAUAUUCUUACUACUAAUUAGUAUAUAUAGUAUAUUAGUAAUUAGUAUUAAAGUUGGAGUGAAAUAUAUAUUAUGUUAUUUAUGCACAGUUUAUUGCCUUGUUUGUUACAUAUUUUUUCUUAAAAAAUCACUUUAUUUUUAUUAAUUAAAAAUAAUUCAAUUCGGCACUACUGAGAGAUUUACAAAUUCAAGUUUGUAAAUUAUCAGUCUUCCAAAAAAAUAAUUGUAAAUUAUCAAAAAAAAACAACAACACAAAUUCAAGUUUGUGUUAAACAAAUACAAAGUUUUUCUCAAAUGGUAACGGUGAAUGAUAUUUUUAUUUUCAAUGCCUUCUCAGAAUGUGUUCUUGGUUGAUCCAUGCCAAUAUGCUUCUUAAUAUUCGUCAAUAGAGCAAUUGAGAGCAGUUGAAAGAGUUGUCACGCAGAUUACAAUAUGCCAUUAUGUAAGUUUAUAUUUAGUAAGCAUUUGUUCUUUUUUUUUUUAAGAAGCUAAAUUAGCCCACCUAAAUUGGUACCAAAGAGAAUCGAACUUGAAAUCUUAAGAAGGAGCACACUUCCAGGUCCCAAGCCAAUACCGGUAACCAUUUGUUCCUUGAUAUCAAUAAUAAUGCCUAACUUUAAUUUGUAGUUGGUCCUGGGUCUUUUCCUUUGUUGGGAUCUGCCUUAUGUAUAAAUACAUUUAAUUUAUUUAUUAGUUCAUUAUUUGUGUUGGACCAAAACUCUCAAUUAUGCAAACAAACAAUCUCUUAUGCAUACAACCAGUUACUUGCUAAACAAGUAAACUGACAAAACUAACAGGUCUCAAACUAACAAACAUUGUUCGUUUCUCUAAUAAACUUGUAGAACAAAGUAACUAACUACUAAAAUUUCUAAUAAACUGUUUGCUUCAGCUUCACUUGGUGAAGCUGUUCCUAUAUAAACCACGCAGUCCGUGCUUGGACCAUAACUCCCUAAUCAUUAUCAAUACACAUGCCGCAACUGCAGCUGUUUUCAUCUUCAAACAAAGUUGCAUCUACAUUACAUUUGAAGGUCCCGAAUUUUGGCUUUUCCCAUCGCAUGAUUUCAGCAAUCUGCUGCUGGUCUGCUCCUUUGACAGACAGAUAUCCAGUCCUGUAGGACUGUUAUAGCUCUGCUAGAAACCUCUAUGGUGGACCGGUUCACAUUCUCCCAAAUUAUGUCACCACCAUAAGCUACACAAAAGGACUUAUGAUAUUCCAUGUACAGGCUCAACUCCAACCAGACUUCUUUAGCCACUUUACAUUUCAGAAACAAUGAAUCCCAUGCUCCCAAUGGUUACUGCAGCUAACACAGUCACAGUCACAAGCACAAUGCAUUCCUUUUUAGAAACUAUUAAACAUACAUAUCGUAGUUUCAUGUCAUGUAAUGAUCUAAUUACAUUAAUUUAGGACAUCAAAGUAUAUUGAGAAUACUCAUAUCUUGAAUCCAUCAUGUUACAGUUGAUUUGAUGCUCAUGAAUGUCUCCUCUAUCCAAAUAGCAUUUGGCAUAAGAGACAUGAUAUGAUAAGUUAUCAUAUUUUGUCUCAAUCUAUUGUUUGAAAAGUCAUUAGAACAUGAUAACUUAAUCUUGUCACCCCUAAUAUCUUGUCCCUAGAGUUAAAAUCUUGCUGGUAGAAGCAAAGAUUUAUAUGCAAAUUCAUGAUGAUAUGUUGAAGGCUUAUAAAAGGGUGUGGGAAAGUCAGAUACAGUCUAAGAUUGCAGUGUUUGUAUCGUCUUUGCUACAAAACCAUAUUUGAACAAGAAUCGAAUUAUUUUGGAGGAGAAUAUAGACAGGUAAGAGAGUUGAUAAAUAUUCUAUUUUGAUAUUGCAGACGAAAGCCUUGAUGGAUCACUUGUUCUUUUCGUGCAAGUUCUUGUAGAAUGUGUGCAUCUCUUUCAAUUUGGAUUGAUUAUCAAAUGAAGGAAAAUUAAGAAGGUAGGAGUACAUCAAUUUCUUAUAAUUGAGGCUCAAAAAACUUCAAAGACUGUAUAAUGUAGAAUAGUAAAAAGGAGAUACAUUAUUCUAUAAAUUUAAAGCAAUCUCCAAACACUAUCAAUAGGUAUGUAAGGUAUAAGUAUGAUAUUUGUAAUACCCUAAAAAUUAUUCAAACUAAAAAGAAGUAAAAUUACAAUUAUUGGGGGGGACUAGGCCAAAACCCAAAGUAAACAACCAAAAAAAUAAACAACACCUGCCUCGUUAAAAACCUUACCAGAAAAAUCCAAUAGGAUAAAAUCAUGGUGAAGGAAAAAAGAGUGCAAAGCAAACAAAAGACUAAACUCUUGUCUAAAAUAAAACAUCAACAAAAACAAUAAUCAGGAAGUCCUAACCUAUUAUGGCAAAUUAAAUUUGAAACACAAGAAUUGAUGUAGAACAAAACCAUAAUCCUUCUCUAAGGAUAUCAUAAAUGAUGAAACGCAUAUUCCAAGUUAAUUCAACACAAUUCAACCACCCGUUUCUCAACCUUCAAGAAAACAAAAUCAUGAUUCUUGAAAGCAAGAGUAACCAAUUGAACAUUUGUUUCCAACGAAAGAUAGAUCCAACAAUUUUUUUGAAGCUAUUUCAAUUGCAUGCAUAGCUCCGCUGACGUUCACAUGAUAGUAGCAUCAGUAAAAAUAUAAUUUAAUUAAAACCUAUGAUUUCUAGCUAAUUCGCUUACUUGGUAAGCCAGUCCGAUAGUUUUUGCUUGAUUUCACAGCUCCCUUAAAUCUUGAGGAGUCUCCCUCACUGAUUUAUUCAUGAUAUGUGCAAUUUGUGGCCAAUCAUCACCUGUUUCCGGUUGACACCUAGGCAAUAACAAGGGGCAGUCCGUAAUACUCAAGGUAUGUAGUGAACUGAGGUCUGCCAUUCCUUUGGGCAGAGAAUCUAAUUUUCUGCAUUCAGAAAUAACCAGUUUUUCAAGUGAAGUGAGGUUACCAAUGCUUUCAGGUAGAGAAGUUAAAGCCUGACAAUCAUAAAUUCUUAACUCUUUCAAAGAUUUCACAUUUUCAACUCCCCAUGGAAGGGACUUCAAUUUUGAAAUACUCCUUAAUACAAGAGAACUCAGGUUUUUUAGACCCUCCCAUUCAGUUGGUUUAUUCCAGUUCGUUCCAGACAUGUCGACAUCAAGAACAAGUUUUGGACAUCUUUCGAUAGAAAGUGAUAGGAGUGAACUUAAAGACUUAAAACCUUGUGGUAGAGACGUAAAAUUAGGACAAUCGCGAAUGUGAAGUUCCUCAAGUGAAAUGAAGUUUUUAAGCCAACUCUCUGGUGGAGAAUGUUCAAUACGCUCAAUUGUCAUGUACUUCAAUUUGGAGAACGGUUGCGACNNNNNNNNNNNNNNNNNNNNNNNNNNNNNNNNNNNNNNNNNNNNNNUUGUCAGCAUAAUGCAUUGUAUCCCUCAUUGAUCUUACAUUUGACUCCACCAGAACAAGCUCUUCAUCUAGGCCAGGAUAUAGCGGCAUGCAAGCUAAUUGAGGACAAAAUUGGAUAUUUAGCUUUGAAAUGCAAUUGAAAGAUGGUCUAUCAUUUCCCCAUAUGUCUUUUUCCCACCAACUUUUAAGCAUAGGACAAUCCGCGAUUGUAAGUUCCUUCAAGGAUGGAAAGAAUAUUGGUGCGGAGGAACCAACUUGAUUGUUUUUUGCAAUGAAUUCCAAAGAGUCCAAUCUCCGAAGUUGGAGAACCUUGAGAUGUGGAAGAUGAUCCAUUGGUGGGAGAAAUUUGCAUUUCGGGCAGUCGUUCAAGGUAAACUUAACAAGGCAUUGAAGUGAAUCGAGCCAGUUAGACAACGUGGUACCAUUGUACCCGACAAUUAAUAGCACUCUCAACUUUGGAUGUGGCUGGAGACAUUCAAGUGACUUCUUGUCUUUGUCAACAUCGCUUUCAUCCUCGUCCUCUUCAUCUUGAUCNNNNNNNNNNNNNNNNNNNNNNNNNNNNNNNNNCAAGAACUCAAGGUGUUGUUUAUUUUUCAAAAAUUCAUCUUUAGCAGCUUCUUUGGACGGAGAGAACUUGACUUGUUCAAGAUGUGAAAUUUCCAACUGGCCUCUCAGAUUGUUAAGAUCUGUGAGUGAUCUUAAUCCUCCCGUGACUUGCUUCUUGCUAGCCACGAAAAGUGACAAUGUUUGUAAAGAAGUGAGCUUAUUUAUCCCACUUGGCAGGUGAGUUAGAUCCAAACAUCCCUCGAUGUCAAGAUGGUUGAGACUACUCAAAUCCUCCAUGUCUUUUGGCAAUUCCUUGAGGACGUGACAUUGAGAAAGUUUCAACGUUUGCAAGUGGAUAAGAGUUGUGAUGCAACUAGGAAGCUUUUCCAUGUUGUUAUGGGAAAGAUCAAGAUACCUUAAGUACUUCACCUCCUCAAUAGAGCUUGGAACCGUCUUGAUUCCCAAGUCAUGUAGAUCCAACACGCGUAGGGAGUACUUGAAGGUGUUGAAGAUUUUAUCACAUGUUGAUGUUGUCAUCUUUACCUCAUGUGGAAGCCUAGGGUUGUUAGUGUUGUAUGGCAAAAGAAUGGUUCUUAGUUUUUUUGCUUUCUCAAACACUGAAUCAGGGAUCUCACACGACAGAUCUAGAGAAAAAUUGAACGAAACUCGCAGCAUUCCGCCGUGAACUGUUUCUACCAUCGAAUCCAUAGUGAUGUUUUCGCCACGAGCAGUUACUUGCCUUGCGAGUUUAUGCAUUAACCGGUUCAUCCUAUAUAAGUAGUUGUUCAUGUUGUUCCUCACAACACCGCAGUAUUGGUGGUGAUUGUUUUCUUCUUCCACUUGAUGGAAAACCAAAGGAUCAAAGUCGUUGAGACAAGCUUGACCAAAUUGUUGUUCUGCAAUUAGAGUAUCACUGUUGGAGGAAAUGGUACUGAGGAGAAACCCUUCAGCAGUCCAUAGUUGAAUUAAUCUCUCGGAAUCAAUCAAGUAAUCUUCUGGAAACAAUGAACAAUAUGCAAAACAUAGCUUUUGAUAAGUGGGAAGAUCGUCAUAAUAGAUACACUUGAGCAUUUGUAGUGCUUCUGGAAUCCAGUCGUCACCACCACAACCGCUAUGGUUCUUCUUGACCACCAUCGCUAUGAUCACUAUCAGAAGAGGGACUCCUCCACCAUAAUCCCUCACAAUCUCCCAUUCGGGUUCAAGCUUGGAUUCAGAUUCAUUGGUACUUUGUUCUUUUUUGGUUGAAAUAAUUGGCUCAUUAACACACUGAAACAAGGACCAAGAUUCCUCUUGAUUAAGCCCCUGCAACUUUAGAACAUGUACAGCAGCAAUGUUGUUGGCAACAUGGUUGCUCCGUGUAGUAACGAGCAUCGUGAUAUCAGUACCACCAACGGUUUCCUUUAAUUUCUUCUGCAACUUCUCAAGAUCAUCAUGCUCAAUCUCAACACGCAAAUCAUCUAUAACAAGUAAAAGACGUUUACCUUCGGUGUUGGUGACGCGUUUUGCUAUGGAUUCAACGUCAAACUUUUUGUGGAGAUCAUUGAUCCAAAUUGGUUGGAACCCAAAAUUUGCUUUGACUUGAUCAUCCUCACAAACAAGACGUGCAAGUUUCGUCUUCCCAAUCCCCGGAACACCAACAAUUACAAUAACAACAGGAACAGGAACAUCGUCGGAGUUGUUCUUGUUCAUGUUCAGCAAUUGAUGUAUAAUCUCCUUCUUUUCAUUUUCUCUACCACACAUAGUAAUUUUCUCAAACACUUCAUAUGCAAACUUUCUUUCCUCAUUCACAUUACUACCAACCACUUCUUCUUGUUCUUCUCCCUUUGCCACUUCUUCAAUCAACCUUUUGAGAUCCUCUGUGGCUUUCUUAACUUGAAGUGUAGCUUUGAAACGAUUCUUGACGUUUAAGCUCGAUCUGAUAAACGAUUUUGUUGAACUACUGGUACUCUCCUUGUAACGAAGAUCUUCCAUCAAAUCACUCAAAUCAAUGACUACAUCUUUAAUAUUUUGAAGCCACUUAGAGUUGCUCUGUUUUGGAACUUUUUCAUUGAUUUGUUUAAGAAUGGUUUCAAGUUGGUUGAUGUCAAUUCC
rnacentral:lncRNA from 1 species